ACGUCUUGAAAUUCAUUUAUUAAACAAUUUCCAUUGACAAUUACACUUACUUGAAAUUAUCUGUCAAUAUACAUGGUCAUUUACAGUAUGUACAUGAUACAUGGUGUAUAAAAAAUAUGAGACCCUUAUAGUAUUGUUGGAAUUUGAAUGCAAUUACGCUCCUUCAUACGAUUCUAUAGCAGUUAUUUUAAAUUCAUAAAAUCUUGUGCUUAACAACAAUAGCUUGAUAUCUAAAUGUUUCGUUUUUUUACACACUGUAUAUAUUUACACAAAUCCAAGAAUAUUAUUUUAUGUAACAAUUACAGACUAACAGUAUACUAUUGAAGUUAAUUAUGUAUAAAUAAUCAUUAACACACAAAUUAAAGCACUGCUUUCCAUUUGUUUGUGGUUGGCACUUUUUUCCAUCCAGCAAACCACCCUAUCGAGUUUCCAAAGUCGGUUUUUCUGGACUAUUUUAUUAAUUCGGUUAGGGUUAGGGUUAGAGUUACGGUUGGGGUUAGAGUAGAGUUACGGUUGGGGUUAGAGCAGAGGUAGGUUUUGGGUUAGUUACAUAGCCAUUUAACAACUCUUCUAUCUUCUGAAAAUAACGUCAGGUCAGUUUGCUGGAUGGAAAAUAGUGCUAACCUUUGUUUGGAGCUCAUCGGGAAUGCUAUUAAUAAAACGUUGCCUACCCAAAUGCUUAUACCAAACUCAAUGCCAUAAAUCACAAAACCUUACGCUACGGAAUAGUAUUAAAUCUCUUAAGGCCCAUUUCCACUCAGGAAAAUUUUCCGCAGAAAGAAAAUUUUGUAAAAUGCGAUUGGCCGACACAAAUUUUCCGUCGGAAAAAAGUUUUUCAGUUGAAAAUUUUCAACUUUUAACAAAUGGGCCUUUAAGGCCAAGACGGACGGGGGGAUCAUUCCAGGGGGGAGAUGAAUUAGAUUGAAGAAGUUAGAAACUCAUAAGGUAUAAUUGUUAAUUAUCAGCACUUACCAAUUGAUAUUUCCCCUUAUAGCGACUUGCCGCGAGGCAUGACGGUAGGAAGCUUCCGAAGAAAAUUAUGGUUGCUCAUGGAGUGAACGAUUUUGUUUCAGACACGACAUUGAACUCGCUCCGCAGGGAAUUUCUUGCAAAACAACUAACUUUAAGAAGAAAAGCAG